AUGAUUACAACUGCCACUGGUGCUUUCAUUCUUACGUCGAUUUUUGUCUGCACUUCAGCUGGGGUAAUUCCAGUGCCCGGACAAAAUGGCGCAAGUGACUUAUUUGAAGACGUGGUGCCAGCUCAAAAGCCCAAACCCGUGACUGCAGUUAUAAACGAGCUGAAGGCCCUAGAGAAAUGGCGGCAAAACGAACUAAAAAAGGCUCAAGAGGAGCCACUUUUGGCGGAAAAUCCAAAGAUGGCGAGGUAUCUGGCAGCUUUAGUGGAGUAUGAUACGCGCAUGUUUGUCUUCGCCGUAAGGUUACUCGACAGUCUCUGCACACUGGAUCACCCUGAUGACAAAAGCCCCGAUGAAAUGGAACAGGCAACAAAUAUGGUCCUGGAUUUUAAGCACAACCAAGAAGCGUAUCAUAUCAGCAUCAGCGAUAUCAAAUAUAGAGUAGAUGAUGUGAAGGAAGAGGUCCCAGAUGAACUCCUUGAAACGCCUCAAAUGGAAACGGUGACUGCAGCUUUUCAACUCACUUACCUGAAGAUAUUUGAAGCUUUCAAGAUGUUAGAGCUGGAGGCUCAGAGUUCGCAGUCCCCAUACUCAAGAGACUACAUAGGCUCGGAACUCCUGCGAGUAUUAUACACUGCAAACAGUACUUGAAUUUUAUAAUCGGUGCUCUUUUUGUUUGUAAAUAAAGUAUCUCAAUUUCUUAAUAUACGUAUAUAAUAAAUCAUUGCCCACCUUUAACUAUGGGAAAAACCGGGCAGGGACCGUCAAAAGAAUUGAAGCGUGGUCCUGGUUUUAUGGCGAUUUUAGCGUCGCGCAAGCCAAGAAAGGGAGCGCGGUCGAAUGUCGAGUCACCUUCACAGUGUGAUGCGCCUUCAAUCCAGCUAGCGGCAAUAUGUCUAUACUCGUAGUCGAUUAGUUAUUGCAAAUAACUCUCGCAUUGCGUUCGGUGCAAUGCGAGAAGUAUUCAUGCAGUCGUGAAGGCGCUAGUAUGCGUUGGAAGUUGACAGCACUGUUUGGCGCAAUGCGUGAAGUAUUCCUGCAGUCUUGCCGGCGCUGAUAUGAGUUUGACGCCGACCGCACCGAGUUUGGCGCGAUUGUUCGAACUCGCGUUAAGAUAAUCGCGGUAUCUAACAAUGGGGUUUAAAAGGCCCAGUUGUGUUUCGGCGCUGUGUGAGAAUUCCAAUGUUGCCUCAGUUCUCUCGAUAAAAUAUUUUUUCUGAGAAAAGUUAGGAAAGUUCUCUAUUCGUGUGUUCGAUUUUUUUAGAUUGAAUGCACCAUUAAGAAAGGUACGAAUUCAAGCACUCUGAUACAUGAUUCUUCAUGAUUGAUUGAAGUUCUAUUCUAUCUGAAACUGAGCUGCUCACAUUUUUUUAUACUUUAUAGGUUUCUCUUUUUUGUGACGAAGACUCAAAUAUGUAUCAAUUGUGAGGAAAAAAUCAUUUUAGCGUCAAACGCAAUAUGUAUGCUUUGCUCUAAAAAUAUAGCUCUGUUUUCUUAGGCCGGGAUAGAUUUUUCUAUAGACUUGGAGCCAAGUAACAAAAAUGUUGAGGCCGAUCCUUCCCCAAAUUUUGGCCAAUUUUUCCCUAAACUUUAAAUCUCAUGAGUUGGGUCAUAAAGUCGUACUUGCGAAGAACAUCAAAUUUUUUUCCACUGAAGGGACAGUGAGCAGAGUCACUAUUUAUCCCCUUCUUGUUUUUUCUCUCAUCAACCAGUAAUUUUUAAAACGCCUUAAUUCGCGGGAGAUAAAUGUAUUCUCUAAAUCCUCCAUUACCAUCUCUGCUAUAAAAACAAGGAGACUUAAAAGAAGACCCACACCUUGGAUAAAAUACGGUAGCUGCGGUAUCGCGCGUUUCGCCCUAUACAACUUUUUUACUCAGCGUUAAAAUCUCUUGGUCAGUGGAAAAGUGGCCAAGCUCUCUUUCUCUGUGGAUGUGCGAAAAAAUUGUGUGCUUCAUUGUGACCGAAUCUGUGAAAAUAGACUUCAUCAUUCGGUAGAAAAUUUCCACAACUUUGAAAUUUGUGCUACGACCGCGGAAAGCGCCUGCAAAACCGUAGGAAUACUUCAAGCAUCGCGUCUUUCCGAGCCCGCCGGCCGGGAAAUUCGAUCUUCGGUGUCAGUCCCACUCUCGGCUCUUGACUCGCGAAUCCCGGUAAGUUCUAGUGGCGUAGCGUGCUUUGCGAUCUAUCGAUAUUUCCCCAUUUGAAGUUGUGGUAAAUUAUCGAUUAUUAAGGUGAUCGCUGCGAACACCCUGUUCAUCGAUACUUUUCCAUAGGUUCAAAUGACCGAUAAAUCAAUAUAUCGCAAAUCACGCCACGCCACUGGUAAGUUCCUAGUUGCGCACGCUAUUUGAAAAUGUGCUGGGCAGCGAGCGUACACAACUUUUGAAGGUGUGCGCAAAAAUGGGGCGCAUUUUAAUCAAAACGUGAUAAAUUUAAAAUGAUGGAAUUUUCCCACAGUCUGCGCAGUUUGCAUAGACCGAUCGGCCAUAGGUUCGUGAUUUUUCUGCAUUUCUGGGACAAAGAGGUCGACUUGUCAAAAUUUCUCCAUAAUUACGCAAAACUAAUGGUUUAAUAAAGGCGCUUUGAAAGAAUAUUUUUUUUUUGCUCCAAAUGCAUUGAUUUUACAUUGUAACAUUAUCCUUUGCCGCAUCCCAAUAUUGGGAAAUUCAUGGACGGAACACGCAACGUGUGUUUACAACCAGUAGUGCCCGUAAAAUUCACUGAUAGAACCUUUACAUUUUCAUCAAGUUACAAUUUGCAAUGAAGAACUACUUUCUGCCUCAUUUUAGAGACGACAUAUCGAUGGUGAAACUGCAGGAAUGCGUAUAUCGGUUUGCGGCGUUGCAGACUUCCUGUCAUACUUUAUUUUUCAUAUGGAAAACCACUUAACGUCAUUUAUUGAGCACUUCGGAUAUUUUUCUUCUCUAUGUGAAGAAUAUUCUGUGAAAAUUUCAAGCCACGAUGUUGGCUCGGUUUCCUUUUAAAAAAUAAAAUAGGAAUGGAGAUUUUCAAACACCGCAACCGAGAUACGCAUUUUUGCAGUUUCACCAUCGAUAUAUGCCACUAGUUUUUCUUUUGCUUUUACGUGCAUUUAUAGAUGAGUAAAAAUAGUAGUUCCUCAUUAUGAAAUGUUCCCAUUCAGUGUGUAGAGUUUAUCCGCUGACUGAAACUCUGAAACUCUUCAUAAAUAGCCCCUACAAUACAGAAUUUUGGUCGUGAGAUUUACCUUGCGAAAAUAUUUCAUGCGAUUUCUGUCUUCAAAUCAGUGCAUCUCGAUAAAUAAACACGCAUUUUUGUUUGUGCCUCCCUCUCUUCUUGUCCCCUUGCAAUUUUUUGCAUUUACUCUAUCAUGUCAAUUAUUGAUAUCAAUCUUGUCUGGACAAAUCUAAAGUCACUUCACUAAAGACAGUGAUAAAUAUAGGCUGAUAAGUAAGUAGCAUACGCCCCCUAGCUAGUUUAGAUCAAAAAAUAUGAUAUGAGACUAGUAAGACUGUAAAACCUGAUAGUAAAU
rnacentral:lncRNA from 1 species